CCUACGGGUGGCAGCAGUGAGGAAUAUUGGUCAAUGGGCGCAAGUCUGAACCAGCCAAGUAGCGUGCAGGAUGACUGCCCUCCGGGUUGUAAACUUCUUUUAUUAGGGAAUAAACUGAGGCUCGUGAGCCCCGUUUUAUAUAUUCUAUCAGUAAGAAUACCCUCUAAUUCCGUCACAGCAGCCGCUAUUAUACGGGAUGUCCGGGCGUUAUGCGGAUUUUUUGGUUUUAAAGGGAGCGUAGGCGGGGUUUUAAGUCAGCUGUGAAAGUUCGCGGCUCAACCGUGAAAUUGCAAUUGAAAUUGGCAGUCUUGAGUACAGUAGGGGAUGGCGGAAGUCAUGGUGUAGCGGUGAAAUGCUUAGAUAUCACGAAGAACUCCGAUUGCGAAGGCAAGUGUCUGGGCUGCAACUGACGCUGAGGCUCGAAAGUGUGGGUAUCAAACAGGAUUAGAUACCCCUGUAGUC
rnacentral:rRNA from 1 species